rnacentral:rRNA from 1 species
UGCGCAGGCGGGACUGCAAGUUGGAUGUGAAAUUUCGAGGCUUAACCUCGAACCUGCAUCCAAAACUGUAGUUCUUGAGUGAAGUAGAGGUAGGCGGAAUUCCGAGUGUAGCGGUGAAAUGCGUAGAUAUUCGGAGGAACACCAGUGGCGAAGGCGGCCUACUGGGCUUUAACUGACGCUGAGGCACGAAAGCAUGGGUAGCAAACA